rnacentral:rRNA from 1 species
CGGGUACGCUGUGCGGUUGGCCUAUACAUGCAUGUCGAACGGCAGCACCGGAGAGCUUGCUCUCUGGGUGGCGAGUGGCGGACGGGUGAGGAAUACAUCGGAAUCUACUUUUUCGUGGGGGAUAACGUAGGGAAACUUACGCUAAUACCGCAUACGACCUACGGGUGAAAGCAGGGGACCUUCGGGCCUUGCGCGAUUGAAUGAGCCGAUGUCGGAUUAGCUAGUUGGCGGGGUAAAGGCCCACCAAGGCGACGAUCCGUAGCUGGUCUGAGAGGAUGAUCAGCCACACUGGAACUGAGACACGGUCCAGACUCCUACGGGAGGCAGCAGUGGGGAAUAUUGGACAAUGGGCGCAAGCCUGAUCCAGCCAUACCGCGUGGGUGAAGAAGGCCUUCGGGUUGUAAAGCCCUUUUGUUGGGAAAGAAAUCCAGCUGGCUAAUACCCGGUUGGGAUGACGGUACCCAAAGAAUAAGCACCGGCUAACUUCGUGCCAGCAGCCGCGGUAAUACGAAGGGUGCAAGCGUUACUCGGAAUUACUGGGCGUAAAGCGUGCGUAGGUGGUCGUUUAAGUCCGUUGUGAAAGCCCCUGGGGCUCAACCUGGGAACUGCAGUGGAUACUGGGCGACUAGAGUGUGUAAAGGGUAGCGGAAUUUCCUGGUGUACCAGUA